CGCCGUCGACCCCACGCCACGCAGAGGUGAAGAUACGCAGGACGUCCUCUAAAGCAACUUCCGUGGGUGCCAGGUUGUGGGCUGGGGGCGGUGCUGACCUUGAGAGAGCGGAGGAGGCGCAGGCGCAGCACAGGUACGUGGGCGGGCGGAUCGUGGUGGCUGCGCUUGCGAGGACCCUGAGGUAGAUUGGGUGGUUUCAACAGGAACGCAUCCACUGUCUGAGAGUUUAAACUUGAUUUUGUGAGGGGACGAACAGCGUGACAAUUAAAAGAAGAUCUGGGAAUCAAAAGCUUCCUGAGGCCUUCACCAGAAGCAGAUGCUGGUGCCGUGCUUCUACAGCCUGCAGAACUCAUCACCGCUCUUGCACUCCAAGCCAUUAUUAAGUAAAGUAAAGAACACAAACACUGUGAUACUGCUACACUUGAUCUGAUAACCAAGAAGUCUACUAAGUGACUAACAGUUAAUAUUUUUGGACAUGAGGUGACUGCAGUUAACUAAAACCAUGGAAAGCAAACCCAUAGAUAAAGGGAUACUAUGGUAUGUUUUCAUUUUCUAUAAUAAAAAGUUAAAAAGGAAAAAGACACCAUAGGAAAAUAAAAGACAAGUCACAAACUGGGAAAAGAUCUUUGCAACACAUGUGACUAUCGAAAGGAUUAGUAUUCACACUGUGUAAAGAACCACUACAAUUCAAUGAAAAUGAAGAUAAUGCUUUCCACCCCAAACAGGCAAUUCAUACAGGAGAAAACCUGAAAAGAUACCCAACCACAAGGAAAUACCAUUUCACACCCACCAGAUGAACAAAAAUGUAAAAGUCUGGCAAUAUUACAAUUCUUAUACAUUGCUGGUUGGAGUAUGAAUUGAUAUAAUCAAUUUGGGAAACAAUAUGGUAUUAUCUAGUAGCUGAAGAUGCACAUCUUCUGUGACCCAGGAAAAAUGUAUAGCAGGAGACAUGAGCAAGAAAAUUCAUAAUGGCAUUUAUAACAGUAAAACGUGGAAGAAAAUCCACUGUCCAUCAACAGUAGAGUGAUUAAAUACAUUGUAUAUGCUCAUACAGCAGAAUAUAGUGGUGGAAAAAAUAAAUUACAAGUUCAUGGACAUAGAUAAAUCUCUAACAAAAUGUUGAGCAAAUAAAAAUUCACAAAAGAAUUUUACAGUAGGAUUCCAUUUAUAUAAAGAACCAAUGAAAGUAAAUAGCCUAAGGGUACAAACAUAAGUAAAUCUAUAAAUUAAAGCAAAAGAAUGAUAAGCACAAAUUCAAGGCAGUGAUUUCCUCUAGCUACAGAGGGAAGGGAAUGAAGUAAGGAAAAGGUGAACAAGGAGCUUAAAAGUAUGAUAAUUAUAUGUGUUGGUUUGGCCAAACAGUCCUGGUUUACCUAGCACAGUUCUGGUUUGCUGAUUGCCUG
rnacentral:lncRNA from 1 species